CGGACGGCCUUUUGACAUAAUUGACGGUUGUUUUUACUUAGCUAUUGGGUGUAGUUGUUGUUCAUUUAAUAAAGAUUUUUGAUAUUAUAAACGAAUUGUUCAUAUUUUAUGCCCGAAGUUAACACAAAUGGCAGUACAGCAGAUCAUUCAAUACAUGCUGAGACAUGAAUUCACAUUUCUACCACUAUGCUAAAUAUCAAUAUCCUACGUUGAAAAUGUACUAGACGAUACUGCUAAUAAUAAUGGUUUUGUGCAACGUGCGUGUAAUGGGUAUUGAAUUUAAUUGAUAUUAAAUUAAUAGUAGUGUAACAAAAAGUCAGUGUCAUGAAACCCUGACCAUUAGAUUAUAAGCAAAUGAUUCUAAUUUUCCAUAAUUGACUUUCAAAUAUUACAUUUAAGGUGAUGCUUCAUACACACAAUAAAAAAUGAUUUAAUAUCAUAAUUUUGAUAUGAUAAUUUAAACAAACAUUACAAAGUCAUACUUUGAACUGCUUGUAAAACACUGUAUUCUCAAGUUAUUCUCCAAACACUACACAUAUUUAACUGACUAUUUUUUAUUUUUAGAUGGCAGUAUAGCAGAUCAUUCAAUACAUGCUGACACAUGAAUUCACAUUUCUACCACUACGCUAAAUAUCAACAUCCUACGUUGAAAAUGUACUAGACGACACUGCUAAUAAUAAUGGUUUUGUGCAACGUGCGUGUAAUGGAUGGCAGUAUAGCAGAUCACUCGAGGCAUGCUGAGACCAUGAAUUAACAUUUCUAUCACUUGGGAAAGUUACAACAUCUUCCGUUGAAAAUGGAAUAGAAGUUGGCAGUAUAUCAGAUCAAUCAAGGCACGCUGAGACACGAAUUCACAUUUCUACCACCAGGGAAAGUAUCAACAUCCUAUGUUGAAAAUGGACUAGAAGAUACUGAUAAUAAUAUUGGAUUUAUGCAAUGUGCGUGCAAUGGUUAUUGAAUAUAAUUGAUACUAAAUUAAUAGCUGUGAAACAAUUGAGAUUUGUUAAAUAUCUGAAUAAAAUAAUAGUAAACACCUUUA